ACUAGGGAUUCCUGAUGCCAUGUAAUAGAAGCUGGGCUGGUUAACACUAACUUGAACUUAAUCUGAACUUCAGGUGUCACAAAUGCCUUAGAAUAACAUGAAGAAGAUUAUUAAAAUAAGUGGGAGAUUGAAAUCUUGGAUUUGAUUUAUCAUAAGUGUCCUGCCACCCAUCCAAAAAUGUAUCCCUAAAGCAGGCCCAGAAAACAUUCCAUUCAUUAGGGCUUUUGAGAUAUACAUUGUAUUCAAAGCUCUGACAUAUUUCAAAAGGGUUGUACUGGUUGUUCUUUGCAGGUUGUUCGAGAAGCUGAAAUAGAAAUCAAUUUCUUGAUUUCAGUAGGAAUAGUGAGUCCCUAAGAGGGGAGAAGCCAGACGGAGUCUUGCUCUGUCGCCAUCCAGGCUGGAGUGCUCUGGGGUGGUCUCAGCUCACUGCAACCUCCACCUCCCAGGCUCAACCGAUUCUCCUGCCUCAGCCUCCCGAGUAGCUGGGAUUACAGGCAUGUACCACCACGCCUGGCUAAUUUUUUUUUUGUAUUUUUAGUAGAGACAGGGUUUCACCAUGUUGGCCAGUCUGGUUUCAAACUGCUAACUUCAAGUAAUCUUCCUGCCUCGGCCUCCAAAAGUGCUAGGAUUACAGGCGUGAGCCACUGUGCCUGGCCAAUUAACUAUUAAGUUUAACUGAUAAGUUCACUUUGCUAGAUUACCUGUCAUAGCUCCCAGGAAUCCUAUAUUUUGAGAAGAUAACCAUAGAAUUAGGUCUUAAAUACUUCCUAAAGUCUCUGACUCCUGUAGGGGACUAGCUGUCCUUAGUACAACCAUAAAAUGAUGGUAUCCAAAAUUGUUUGGAAAAAGUAUUAUGUUUUAUAUAUUACUGUUAACAAAUAAAGAUCAAAAUGAUUCACAUGAUAAUUAUUGGGGGCAGGGAAGAAUUCGCCAUAAUUUUUCCAGUGUUUAGGACUAUAAAAUUCUUAAGUCUCAUCCUAUUUUUUCUUCUCCCUCUGCAGGGAACUUUGCCCAAGCUUACCGUUUUUCCCCCGUAUAUUCUUCUGCACCCGUUUUUCACUUGUGUGUGAGGUGGUGGUGGGAAGUUUAAGGAAUGAAAAGGAUGCCUUCUCGUGGGAAGUCUCUCUAAACUACAUUUCCUUAUCUCCUUUACCCCAUCUGCUCAAUUCUAAAGUAGCUACUUGCCCCUAAAACCCUGCAGGAGUUUUAGCAGCAGAGAACUGCUGAUUCCAGGCUUCAGAGGAAAAUCAACAAUUUCCUCCAGCCAAAACAGAGACUGUUUCUUUGGGAGGCUGUUACACCUGGAGACUGCACUUCCUGGAGCACCCUUCAGCAAACCAGACCACCUUAGGCAAGAUUUUGAAAAACCAGACAGGUGCGAUAAUGAGGACUUUUUUUUCCCCCAGAUUUAUGACUUUAUUGAUACUCUCUCUAUAGACUGGCUAUAUAAGAAUCCACGCCCCAUAAGCUGAGUAAGCGAGGACAAAUCUGACCUAACCUAAGGAAGUUAUAGAUUCAAGAACUAAUGAUUAGUAAGUCUUCAUCUUAGGACCAAGGGAUUGCUUAUGCUUAUUGGUCCUGCUAUAAGGCCAGGUCGCAGUGUCUCUCACCUGGAUCUGCUACAGUCAUGAUUGAAAAUUGCUGACUUACACAGGUAAUAGACUCUCUUUAAAGAUAUCUCUCUAAUGUAUUUACUUUCCAGAAAGCAAAAUGCCAGGCUGCUAACAGAUGAGUUGUUUGUACUUUAAAAGUUUACUGUUCCAGUUAGGACAUUCUUGAUGGUAUUUUGUAUUCUCUUUGCAG
rnacentral:lncRNA from 1 species